UCAGGUCUGUCCGACUGAUUUUGUUUGUUAGCGAUCUUUAGCGUUCUAGUUUCGGCCCUGUUCUCAAAUCUUAACCCAUUUUUCAAAAACAAUGAGAGAAAUACGGCAUGCAGAUUUUCAAUAAAGACUUAAUAUGCAAUGCACGUAUUUCUCUCUCAACAUAUCUAUCACGAAGCGAUUUUUUUUAUCCACGCAUGUACGAUUUAAGGCACAAAAUGCCUCAAACAAAAAAAUGACAUUCAUGUAAAUAACAUAUAGAUAUAUUCAAUAUAGGCCAUCGCCAGCCAUAUUUUAUUGCAUGCGAAAUAAAUAAAAAAAUUCAACACAGCUUUCCUUUCAGCGUUGUGAAAAUGAACAUGUUAUUGCCAUUCACUUAAAAUCAAUGAAAAGCACAAAAAAAUUGUAAUUAUAAAUUCUAAAAGAAUGGAAACAACGUUUUACUUGGCACUUCGCCUAGAAACUGGAAUAGAGCAAUCGCGUUUCCGCUGAUUACAUAUGUAUUGUGUGUAUUCUGACCAUUGAAAUGCAAGCAUCGAUUGGAGAAGCAAAAAUAAGCAAAAUUUCGACGUUCGUUGAUGUCAUGAUCAGCACAAAAUAGCCGCUUCCACUUGUGCCUCAAACUACUGUAUACAUAAAUAACAUUUUCAGAAAAAAAUCUCUCCAUGGAUAUUCCAAUUGUAACCGUUGUUAACACAAUUAAAUUCUUCAACAUCAACAAAAACAUACUGUGGAAGACAAAAAUGAGGACUUGUGCUGAUAAAUUCUACAAGUGACGUGUUAAGAAAGCGGAAACGGGCAUAAAGUAACUUCAUAUAAGUUCAGAAUGCAAGAGGAACAUUUCCAGAAAAAUUGAAAUUGUUAAUCGAUAUUCUGAUCGUGUCAACAACGUAAAAAAUUGCGAUAGAAAGGAAAAUACUGUGGUAAAUAAUAGCCGAUUUCUAAUUAUAAGAUAAUAAAGUAAAGUAAUUAUCUAGUAAGUCUGUAAAAAUACAAUAUAAAUAAUGCACAUGUCUAAUUAUACCGUGACGUAAAGGUCCUGCAUUAAAGUAAUACUUGGUCACGACUACUCCAAAAACAAGUCAUUUACUUCAUUCACUAAAUUUUGAAAAAUUAAAGCGAUGAGCAACUAGAACAAAUUUUCAAAAAAAAUAACCAGCACUGUUACGUCACUGCAUAAUUAAUUUGGUACUAACAACCAAACAGAGUUUACUAUUUUUAAACAAUUUAGUAAAAAGUGAAUUGUACUAAUAAAUUUUUUGUGCACUCUCCA